AUACGGAGGGUGCAAGCGUUAUCCGGAAUCAUUGGGUUUAAAGGGUCCGUAGGCAGAUUGGUAAGUCAGUGGUGAAAGUCUGCAGCUUAACUGUAGAAUUGCCAUUGAUACUGCUAGUCUUGAAUUACUGUGAAGUGAUUAGAAUGUGUAGUGUAGCGGUGAAAUGCAUAGAUAUUACACAGAAUACCAAUUGCGAAGGCAGAUCACUAACAGUAUAUUGACGCUGAGGGACGAAAGCGUGGGGAGCGAACAGUAUUAGAUACCCUAGUAGUCC
rnacentral:rRNA from 1 species